GUUAACCUUGCGCAUAUACGUAUAACAUUUCCACGGUAGUUAAUUUCCAUACAAUUAAAUACCGAACGCCCGAUGCCCUCGUGGGUGAUGCGACUUGAUCGCAUCCGGUCGUGCAUUCGCGAUCGAUCCUGAAUCGAUUUGACAGAAGCCAGGCUGGAAUGAUCUCAUCGAGAUCGCUCCACGGGACAGUGUGCAAUUCCUUCCACGUACACGCGAGCGAUUCUCGUGCCCUGAUUUAAUCGAGAUGCUCCGGUGACUCACGCGCACGAGCAAGUAAAACAUAAGAGGCUUGACUCGAUCUGAUAUUGCUCUAUGCGGAUCAUUUCCUGAGAACUGAUCGUGUCAAUUUCCUCGAUGGGUCUCGACAGCGACUCAAGCUGGGUGCGGUUGAAAGGUCGUCGCGCGGCCUCCACUAACACCAAAGAAUACAACCAUUCACCGCCCACUCGAACGGGAGCUCCCACGAAUGCGGGAUUUAAGGUCAUUCAUUCCGCGAGAAAGUAGACGAGAGCAGCGAGAGGCGUUAAACCGGAGAUUGUUGAUUUCUUUUGCAUCACCAAACACUGCAGGGAUUCGCCCGAUUUUUCUUCAUCUUUAAGCACGAUCUGUCUUUUUGAAUAAAUCUAUAAUAUCGAGCACUAA